UACGUAGGGUGCAAGCGUUAAUCGGAAUUACUGGGCGUAAAGCGUGCGCAGGCGGUUUUGUAAGUCUGUCGUGAAAUCCCCGGGCUCAACCUGGGAAUUGCGAUGGAGACUGCAAGGCUAGAAUCUGGCAGAGGGGGGUAGAAUUCCACGUGUAGCAGUGAAAUGCGUAGAGAUGUGGAGGAAUACCGAUGGCGAAGGCAGCCCCCCUGGGAUAACACUGACGCUCAUGCACGAAAAGCGUGGGGGAGCAAACGAGG
rnacentral:rRNA from 1 species